AUGAACGCUGGCGGCGUGCCUAAUACAUGCAAGUCGAGCGAACAGACGAGGAGCUUGCUCCUCUGACGUUAGCGGCGGACGGGUGAGUAACACGUGGAUAACCUACCUAUAAGACUGGGAUAACUUCGGGAAACCGGAGCUAAUACCGGAUAAUAUAUUGAACCGCAUGGUUCAAUAGUGAAAGACGGUUUUGCUGUCACUUAUAGAUGGAUCCGCGCCGCAUUAGCUAGUUGGUAAGGUAACGGCUUACCAAGGCAACGAUGCGUAGCCGACCUGAGAGGGUGAUCGGCCACACUGGAACUGAGACACGGUCCAGACUCCUACGGGAGGCAGCAGUAGGGAAUCUUCCGCAAUGGGCGAAAGCUUGACGGAGCAACGCCGCGUGAGUGAUGAAAGUCUUCGGAUCGUAAAACUCUGUUAUUAGGGAAGAACAAAUGUGUAAGUAACUAUGCACGUCUUGACGGUACCUAAUCAGAAAGCCACGGCUAACUACGUG
rnacentral:rRNA from 1 species